rnacentral:rRNA from 1 species
UACGUAGGGGGCAAGCGUUGUCCGGAAUCAUUGGGCGUAAAGAGCGUGUAGGCGGCCCGAUAAGUCCGCUGUGAAAGUCCAGGGCUCAACCCUGGGAUGCCGGUGGAUACUGUCGGGCUCGAGUCCGGAAGAGGAGUGUGGGAAUUCCUGGUGUAGCGGUGAAAUGCGCAGAUAUCAGGAGGAACACCAAUGGCGAAGGCAGCACUCUGGGACGUGACUGACGCUGAGACGCGAAAGCGUGGGGAGCAAACAGG